rnacentral:rRNA from 1 species
GAUGAACGCUAGCGGGAGGCUUAACACAUGCAAGUCGAGGGGCAGCAUGGGGUAGCAAUACCCUGAUGGCGACCGGCAGACGGGUGAGUAACGCGUAUGUAACCUACCCUGUACAGGGGGAUAACCCGGAGAAAUUCGGACUAAUAUCCCAUAGAAAUAUUGGAAGGCAUCUUUUGAUAUUUAAAGUUCCGGCGGUACGGGAUGGGCAUGCGUAACAUUAGUUAGUUGGUAAGGUAACGGCUUACCAAGGCUUUGAUGUUUAGGGGUCCUGAGAGGGUGGUCCCCCACACGGGUACUGAGACACGGACCAGACGCCUACGGGGGGCAGCAGUAGGGAAUAUUGGUCAAUGGGCGCAAGCCUGAACCAGCCAUCCCGCGUGCAGGAAGACGGCGCGAUGCGUUGUAAACUGCUUUUCCAGGGGGAGAAGCUUGCGCACGUGUUGCGCAAUUGACGGUACCCUGGGAAUAAGCAUCGGCUAACUCCGUGCCAGCAGCCGCCGUAAAAC